UACAGAGGUCUCAAGCGUUGUUCGGAUUCAUUGGGCGUAAAGGGUGCGUAGGCGGCGCGGUAAGUCGGGUGUGAAAUCUCGGAGCUUAACUCCGAAACUGCAUUCGAUACUGCCGUGCUUAAGGACUGGAGAGGAGACUGGAAUUUACGGUGUAGUGGUGAAAUGCGUAGAUAUCGGGAGGAACACCAGUGGCGAAGGCGACUACCUGGCCUGUUCUUGACGCUGAGGCGCGAAAGCUAGGGGAGCAAACGGG
rnacentral:rRNA from 1 species